AGUAAAGGGCAAACCGAUCGAAAGGUCGGGACGCAAAGCCACCGGUCUAAGGGUUUUGAUACCUAAGACAGCGGAGCUGCCA
rnacentral:ncRNA from 1 species